GCAGUUGUUGGCUCAGUGGUAGAGUGCAUGCUUUGUGUGUAAUGUCCUGGGUUCAAUCCCCAGCUUGGCA